UAAAGGCAGGUUGUGGGUAGCUAGAGAGGUAGUCUGAAUAAAGGCAGGUUGUGGGUAGCCAGAGAGGUAGUCUGAAUAAAGGCAGGUUGUGGGUAGCUAGAGAGGUAGUCUGAAUAAAGGCAGGUUGUGGGUAGCUAGAGAGGUAGUCUGAAUAAAGGCAGGUUGUGGGUAGCCAGAGAGGUAGUCUGAAUAAAGGCAGGUUGUGGGUAGCUAGAGAGGUAGUCUGAAUAAAGGCAGGUUGUGGAGAGGUAGUCUGAAUAAAGGCAGGUUGUGGGUAGCUAGAGAGGUAGUCUGAAUAAAGGCAGGUUGUGGGUAGCUAGAGAGGUAGUCUGAAUAAAGGCAGGUUGUGGAGAGGUAGUCUGAAUAAAGGCAGGUUGUGGGUAGCUAGAGAGGUAGUCUGAAUAAAGGCAGGUUGUGGGUAGCUAGAGAGGUAGUCUGAAUAAAGGCAGGUUAUGGGUAGCUAGAGAGGUAGUCUGAAUAAAGGCAGGUUGUGGGUAGCUAGAGAGGUAGUCUGAAUAAAGGCAGGUUAUGGGUAGCUAGAGAGGUAGUCUGAAUAAAGGCAGGUUGUGGAGAGGUAGUCUGAAUAAAGGCAGGUUGUGGGUAGCUAGAGAGGCAGUCUGAAUAAAGGCAGGUUGUGGGUAGCUAGAGAGGUAGUCUGAAUAAAGGCAGGUUGUGGAGAGGUAGUCUGAAUAAAGGCAGGUUGUGG